GUGCUCGCUUCGGCAGCAUAUAUACUAAAAGUGGAAUGAUAGAAGAUUAGCAUGGCCUCUGCGCAAGGAUAACACGCAAAUUCGUGAAACAUUCCAUAUUUUA
ensembl:snRNA Gm26497 U6 spliceosomal RNA